rnacentral:rRNA from 1 species
AAGUCGUAACAAGGUCUCCGUAGGUGAACCUGCGGAGGGAUCAUUACAGAGUUCUCGCCCCACCGGGUAGAUCUCCCACCCACUGUUAUCGUUACCGUCGUUGCUUUGGCGGGCCGCUAGGCUCGCCAGAGGCCCUACAAACUCUGAAUGUCAGUGUCGUCUGAGUACUAUACAAUAGUUAAAACUUUCAACAACGGAUCUCUUGGUUCUGGCAUCGAUGAAGAACGCAGCGAAAUGCGAUAAGUAAUGCGAAUUGCAGAAUUCAGUGAGUCAUCGAAUCUUUGAACGCACAUUGCGCCCUGUGGUAUUCCGCAGGGCAUGCCUGUUCGAGCGUCAUUUCAACCCUCAAGCUCUGCUUGGUGUUGGGCCACGCCCCCGCGGCCGGCCCCAAAGCCAGUGGCGGCGCCGUCCGGCUCUAAGCGUAGUACACCUCUCGCUCUAGGGCCUCGCGGUUGCCUGCCAGAACCCUAUACUCUUAUGGUUGACCUCGGAUCAGGUAGGGAUACCCGCUGAACUUA